AGUCGAACGGAAAGGCCCUUCGGGGUACUCGAGUGGCGAAGGGGAGUAACACGUGGGUGAUCUGCCCUGCACUCUGGGAUAAGCCUGGGAAACUGGGUCUAAUACCGGAUAGGACCACACACUUCAUGGUGAGUGGUGCAAAGCUUUUGCGGUGUGGGAUGAGCCCGCGGCCUAUCAGCUUGUUGGUGGGGUAAUGGCCCACCAAGGCGACGACGGGUAGCCGGCCUGAGAGGGUGACCGGCCACACUGGGACUGAGAUACGGCCCAGACUCCUACGGGAGGCAGCAGUGGGGAAUAUUGCACAAUGGGCGCAAGCCUGAUGCAGCGACGCCGCGUGAGGGAUGACGGCCUUCGGGUUGUAAACCUCUUUCAGUAGGGACGAAGCGAAAGUGACGGUACCUACAGAAGAAGGACCGGCCAACUACGUGCCAGCAGCCGCGGUAAUACGUAGGGUCCGAGCGUUGUCCGGAAUUACUGGGCGUAAAGAGCUCGUAGGUGGUUUGUCGCGUUGUUCGUGAAAACUCACAGCUUAACUGUGGGCGUGCGGGCGAUACGGGCAGACUAGAGUACUGCAGGGGAGACUGGAAUUCCUGGUGUAGCGGUGGAAUGCGCAGAUAUCAGGAGGAACACCGGUGGCGAAGGCGGGUCUCUGGGCAGUAACUGACGCUGAGGAGCGAAAGCGUGGGUAGCGAACAGGAUUAGAUACCCUGGUAGUCCC
rnacentral:rRNA from 1 species